AUGCUAACCUGUGCCGUCUGCAUCGCGGGGUUCUGUGAGGGCCUGCUGAGAGGUGAAACGGACGGGAGAAAGGCUUCGGGGGAGUCAGGAGCGAGUGGGAUGGUCCUUCAUAAAGGUUCUACUGACAUGUUACUACAGAAGCAGAAGCCCAGGAGACAGAAAGCAGACAGGCUACAAUCCCGUCCGGGAGCCCUGCUCUGGAACCAGGACCUGCCCCUGCACGGGGUCCAAGCGAGGCCCACGGUCCACAGAGCCAGACCCUGCCCCGAUGUCGCACUCGCAGAGAGGACUCACGCAGCCUUCUCCCACCCUGCGCCAUCAUCCUCCACAGCCUGCUUUAUGCUCCCUCACGGUCUGCCUGCUGCCCCUGAAAUAUUCAUUCAGUCUCUCGUCGGUCUCCUUCAACUUGCACGUAAACUCAUGAGAGCAGGAACUUUGUUCUGUUCCCCACCGAGUCCCUGGCAUCUAGAAUACUGCCUGGCACCGAGGAGGUGCCUGACAAAUCUUCGUGGAAUUAAUAAAUGAACAAAUUCAUAAACUGGAGGGGAUAGUCUACCUGCUGGGACGGUGGAGGGAUCAAGUGGGACGGUGCGUGUCCAUCAUCCCGCAUGUCGCCUGGAGGUCAUAUCUGUCUCCCUGUGGAACUUCCAACACGACUGCAGCUCAUGAACAUGGUACAGUGAAAACCCAGUUCCAGCUCCUCUAUAUGAUGAGACCUAACAUUAACUUCCAUGCGCCAGUUCCUGUACUAAGCUCUUGCCUUCUUUAUAUCGUUUAAUGCCAUGGCAAACUUACAAAGUGAGUAGUUUUAUUAUUCCUAAUUUUACAGACGCAGGAACCGAGGUUUGGAGAGGUAGAAAAUUUAGAUAGAUUAAAUGUGUAUAAAAGAGGUUAUACACAUAAGGAGCUUAUACACAAAAGAGUAGGAACAUAACAAAAGUGCAUUGACUCUUCCAUGCUAAGUUCUGUCUCUGACUGGGAACGUAGGGUCUGGUGGGCUGCUGGGCCUCACUAGAACCCAAGUCUCCCUACAGACCAGAUUUUAAAAGGCUGAGAAGUCAUGAAGGAACUGGAAGAACAGAACGGGGCUCCUCUUCCAUAGAUUGGACCUAUGAAGAAACCUGCCCUUGAAACUUGAACCUCUUCAUCAUAGAUGUAAUGAGGUGAGUCCAACAUGGACCUUUUCAACACCCAUUUGGAGAAAAUCUACUAGAGUCGCACCAAACUGAUCAUGUGCAAGAACACACAUGAACUUACCCCAUGUUUCUACUUUCAAAUCUUGCCGACUUGUCCUCUGUCAGUUGAAAGGACAUGGCUGCAAAUAGAAUCAGGUUUUUAAAAAAAGACACAAGAUAAUUGCGGCCACUGAGUCACUUGGUUCAGACUCGUGGGUAGAGGAUUCUCCUGGACCUUGAAAAUCGGGCCCCAGGUCUCAGGCCUCUUAAGGAACUCUGAGUAAGGAAGUGUAAAUGCUGCAAGAUCAAAGGCAUGUAAAUGAUGCAGAGUGAAAGGGAAAGGGAAGCUGGGAAGAGCUGGAAGCACAUUGUUGGGAGAAAGAAAGCUCAAAGUAGACCUGUUACACAGAGAUAUGUGCGUGGUGUGUGGUACGUGUGUUAUGUAAUGCUUUGUCUAUAAAGCGAGAGAUUCUGUGAGCAUAUAUAAUAAAACGCUAAAGAACUUAUCUCUGAAUAGUGGG
rnacentral:lncRNA from 1 species